rnacentral:rRNA from 1 species
CCAGCAACUAGGAGGAAUGAAGAAUUACUGUAAAAGGUAAUUUUCUAUAUAAGAAAUUAAAUGUAGAGUUAACGUAGUUAAGUAAAGUUCCGAGUAGAAAUUGAUUAUGACAGUUUCUAUGAGUAUGUCUUGACCAAUUCAUGUGCCAGCAGUCGCGGUAACACAUGUAAGACUGGUGUUAUUCAUCUUUAAUCGGUUUAAAGGGUACCUAGACAGUUAAUUAAGCCUAAUAAAAGGUACUAAUAAACUAGAGUUUAAUAUAAGAAGAAGAGUACGGUGAGUGGAGAGAUAAAAUUCAGUGAUACCACUUAGAAACUGGCAAAAGCGAAGGCAAUCUUCUAUGUAAAAACUGACGUUGAGGGACGAAGGCUUGUUAAAAAUAAUAGGAUUAGAUACCCUAGUAUUGUGAGCAGACAAUGAUGAGUGCCAUAUGUAAGAAUAUAUUUUUUGUGUAUAAAUGAAAGUGUAAGCAUUCCACCUCAAGAGUAAUAUGGCAACAUAUAAACUGAAAUCAUUAGACCGUUUCUGAAACUCGUAGUGAAGUAUGUUGUUUAAUUUGAUGAUCCACAAAGAACCUUACCACAAUUUGAAUAUCUAUAAAAGGCUUAUUAGAUUAUGCCUGCACGCAGUCUUGGCGUGCAGUCUUGCGUGCUGGCUUUGUAGUUUGUGCUUGCGUGCAGUCUUGCGUGCAGGCUUGUGCCUGCGUGCAGGCAGGCAGACAGUCACAAGCCUAUAUAGAUACAAGCGUUGCACGGCUGUCUUCAGUUAAUGUCGUGAGACUUUGGUUAGAUCCAUUAAAUUAACGUAUAACCCUUACUUUAUUUAAUAUAAAAUAGUUCGCCGCUAUAUUGGUAGUGAUAUAAGGGACCAAGACAAGUC